GACAGAGGGUGCAAACGUUGUUCGGAAUUACUGGGCGUAAAGCGCGUGUAGGCGGCCCUGCAAGUCGGGUGUGAAAUCCCACGGCUCAACCGUGGAAGUGCACUCGAAACUGCAGGGCUAGAGUCCUGGAGAGGAAGGUGGAAUGCUUGGUGUAGCGGUGGAAUGCGCAGAUAUCAGGAGGAACACCAAUAGCGAAGGCAGCUCGCUGGGACGGUAUUGACGCUAAGGCGCGAAAGCGUGGGGAGCAAACAGG
rnacentral:rRNA from 1 species